rnacentral:ncRNA from 2 species
UCAAUCAUACAUCUUUAAGGUCACUUUAUUUAGGUGAAGUGUUAAUAGGGAAGCUGGUGUAAAUCCAGCACGGUCCCGCCACUGUAAAACGCUAGAAUGUUUUAUUUAUCCACUGUCCAUAUGAUGGGAAGGAGAAACAUUUGUGAAUGCGUAAGUCAGGAGACCUGCCUUAAAGAAUAGAUGUGA